rnacentral:rRNA from 1 species
CCCUCGGGCCGUCUCGUUGAUGGAAACCAAUUUAAUCGCAGUGG